CAGCAGCCGCGGUAAUACAGAGGGUGCAAGCGUUAAUCGGAAUUACUGGGCGUAAAGCGCGCGUAGGUGGUUUGCUAAGUUGGAUGUGAAAUCCCCGGGCUCAACCUGGGAACUGCAUCCAAAACUGGCAGGCUAGAGUAGGGCAGAGGGUGGUGGAAUUUCCUGUGUAGCGGUGAAAUGCGUAGAUAUAGGAAGGAACACCAGUGGCGAAGGCGACCACCUGGGCUCAUACUGACACUGAGGUGCGAAAGCGUGGGGAGCAAACAGGAUUAGAUACCCCUGUAUCCCUGUCUCUUAUACA
rnacentral:rRNA from 1 species